GUGAUGUUUUGCCUUUCUCCAAGGAGUCUGGUUUGGAUUCCAGCAUUUUAGUGCAAGCAGAAUUGACUCAGAGAUUUCCAGAAGUUUUCCCAGCGUGUGUCCUGACUCGGUCUCAGACGAAGAGGAUGGGAACGGAGUUUACACUAGAUGACACCUUCAUGUGCACUGAUCAUCCAGUUCAAGUUGAUGUGGAGUCUGUCAGUGUCAAAGAGCAUCCAUGCCAGGAGUCAGAAUCAGAACAGAGGUGGAUGCUAGUGCCGUUGGAGCUGGUGCUGUGCUCUUACAGGAAGAUAAAGAAGGUUUCUUUAUUGGUUCGCCUGACCAUCUGGGAGGAUCUGGAUGUCCAAUC